rnacentral:lncRNA from 1 species
UGGAUUCAAACUUGGGUGGCCUAGAACCAUCUGAAGGGGUCUGUCAGCCUAGAGCCUUGAUGACUUGUUGGAUUGGAGUCCAUAUGUCCCUAGGAAUGCAUAACACGUUGUUCAAUAUUUCUGUGCAUUUGAAAAGAGUGCUUUGAGAGUAUCCAAGAGCCACAAGGCAUGUAAUUACAGGUUAAUAAAUACCUCAAUAUUCU